GGCGGAAACUCACUGCGAAGCCUGCCCUUGCACAAUCGAAUUAAUGACAGGAAGCAAUGAUACAAUUACUCUGCAGCCACUUAUUAAACAGAGGCUUGGCUGCGUUCAGCCGUGAUUGCCCGAGAACCAAGAGAAUCCAGUGAAAUCUCGCCGUCUCGUGUCGCCGUGAAUUAGUUUAGCAAGAUCAGCGUGCUCUGAUUCCGGCAACUUUUUCUGCUGAAGCUCGUUACGCGUAACUAACGGAGGAUUAAAACGGUUGGCUUGUGAAAAACUAAGAAAAUAAAUAAUUAAAUAUAUAAAUAAAUAGGUAGAUACCUGGUUGGAAGGGAAAGGAAAAGCGGGAGACUAAUGGAAAAAACUCGACGAAAUUUUACGUGAAACGAAAAUAUCGUAAGAAACUCUGAAGAAUUAUGCAAGGAAUUUCUAUUUCGUGUAGAAAGAAAACAUUUAAGUGGUAAUUACUGACAAUUGCGUGGAAUCAGUCGUAAUUGCGCCAGACAAGAUACGAGAGACUGUUAUACAAUAUAUUUCUUCACGGAAUGUAGUUAAAAAGGUUGAUAAAUUAUCCUUGGAUAUAGAAAAUGGAUAAAAGGAAUUGGAAACUCGCGUAUAACGAUGUUUGGCUUGAUAUGUUAAAUGCGUACAUUACGAUCAUAAUGUGAAAGACAAAGUAGGAUAAAGCGAUAGGUCCAUGUCUAUGCCAUUUAUACUAUUAGACAAUUAAACAAAAAUAUCUAAUCUGUUGGAGAUUGAAAGACAAGUUAUGCUAGCAGUAGAUUAAGGAAUGACUACAAAUGACUGUAUUUCCGUCGCAACAACUGCUUUCAAGGAUAGCAGAUUCAGCUAUCUCCGUGCCUGAAUACAAGAUUCGACAACACACUGUCCCAAGAGAAACGUAUACCAAUAUUUAACCAUAUCCAGUCUACCGCUAUUUCUGUAGAAUACCAAAAGAUAUAGCUUCGUAGAAUAGAAUUCUCCGGUAAUUUGAAAUCCAUGUAAAAUCAAAGUUGCCAUCGGAGCGUGCAAUAUUUUAUAAUUGACAUAGCGAAAUAUCGCAACAAGGCCGCGCAUUGUAUUCAAGUUUUUCCUCAAGAUAUUAACAAACCUUUUGCUCGCCGAAACAGAAAGCAGCGAGAUUCAGCGAUGAAAACUGAAGAAUCGCAGCACAGAAUUAAAUCCAUCGAAGUUCAAAGUCGUCACCGAAGCGUGCGAUAUUUUACAACAUAGCGAAAUAGCGUAACAAUACGGCGAAUUGCGUUAAGAGUUUUUCCUCCAGAUAUUAAGAUACUUUUUCUUUUCGUUUGCCGAAACAAGAGCGAGAUACAGCCACGAAGAAUCGCGGCAGAAUUAAAUCUCAUCGAAGUUCAAAGUCGCCAUCGAAGCGUGCGAUGUUCUACGUUAACACAGCGAGACAGCGAGUAACGAUACCGCGUAUUAAAGUCUUCUCUCAAGAUAUUAAAAGGCUCCUUUCAUUGUGCCGAGGCGAGAGUGAAAUUCGUCCGUGGAAAUUGGAGGAUCGCGGCGGAACCGAGUCCGAUCGAAUGAAAAUUCAGAGUCGCGAUCGAAGCGUGCAACGUUUCGAAAAUUCUCCGGGAUAUUGAGAGAGACACGGCGAGAUAGUGUCGCGAUACAGCGUUACCACUGUCACCGGAAGAGGGAAACGAGAGAAACCUGGAGCAGUCGUGGGGUGGUUCGAGUGACAUUAAAGGUUGUCGCGAGUCCUAAAUUGCAGGCCGGCUGGCUAUGUUCGCCCUGUUCCAGCAAGAUAGGGGCUCGUUUCGCGUUCGCCGGCAACAGAUACAAAUUUUCUCCGCUUAAUUCCAUCGGCCGUAGAAGUCUAAUUGCGCCGGCGACAAGCUGGAAAAGAGUGUCGUUUAAACAUGGGCCCCCGUGGAAAAACCGACGCCCUCUGUAACUGCAUCCACCGUAAAAUUCCCGUGAAUCUUCGUUCUGCAACGGGAAAAACGCUGGAGGACGUCGUUGCCCGAAGAUGAAUCUACCGUCGAAUAAAUCUCGUCGUGCGAGUUAUACGAGGAGGACGGGGAUCGAUGCCGCCUGGUGACAAUUAAUCCAUUAAAUCCGAGGAUUAUCGAACAGCUACGAGAAAGAACUUUGCGAUAAUCGUAACGAAUUGGCUCGCAGUAAUUGCAACGAGUAGGCGUCGCUGAUGCUAUACCGGUGGCCGGCGAUGUACAAGCUGUAAUACUAUGAAUCUUGGUGCCUCGAAGCGUAAUGCCAUGGAGGAUCGUACAACGGGACAGAGCGCAGAACUACGAAGCACAGUGCCAUAAACCAUAAAACGCAGAGAGCAUUAUGAAUGACGAUGCCACAGUAAAUAUCGGAAUUCGCAAUUCCUAUAUCCACCGAAUCAACGCUCGGCCAUUCUAAAUAUCACCAGACGUAAAUUACGAACACAGUGAAAUAAAUCAGCUUCUAUUCGUUGGUGCAA